AUUUAUAUAGGGAGUAUGGACGAGUGUAAAUACAUACAUAUAUUAUAGAGUCUGAGAGGCUCGAUAUUUUAUGGGAUAAAAGUUUUAUCGCUUGCGGCAUGCAUUCGAUUUUUCCUUAGAAAUUAAUUUGGGGAAACAUAAAUAUUUUAUUUAUUAUUUUAUUUUUGUCCACUCACUCUAACGUUAUUAAAUGUUUUCCCCUGGGCCAUUCGCUUUAAAUUGCCCAGUCUGCAGAGUUCGGGUUGGAUCUAGUAGGAGACGAGGCAUAGUCACCCGCAUUUCUGCCAGUUUUCGCCAGUAGGUUACCUGUUCAACCUACUCGUGUUUUCUUGCUUCCGCUUGUGUUUAGUAGCUCUGAAUACUUUAGAAUUUUUGUAUAUUAUGUGAUGUUCAGAAGUGUUAAAUUAAGAGUGUAAUAUGAAAUUUUCGAGUUAGGGUUGUCCAUCUGCAAGGGAGAUUUUCUUAAUCUUUUCAGUAAAUUUUCCUUGGAGGUGGUCCCCGCACGACUUACUCUGGGUUUCAGGGUGAAAUUCGGGGUGGGUCGUGUUAUUUGCCUUAGCCAAAAGUGACGUGUGUAUGAUCAAAACCAAGUCCUUUCGAUCGUUCUAAGGUCGUAAACUUCAUGACUAGUUAGCAAAAGCUCCUUGACAUGAACAUAAACUAACUCAGAGGACCUAGAUGAUCCGAUUAUGAUGAUAAUUUUUCAGCUUUGAUAAGUCUUCAACGUCUUUUGCAAGACGGCAAUUGGUUUAAUAGCGUAGGGGGAUCCAAAAUCAAAAGCUUUCGGUAACUCCAAGUCAGUAUGACCAGGCAUGUCCGUGAAGGGUCGGUAGUGCGAGGCACACUUAAAACCACUAUCUCCUUAAUUUCGGACAAUUCUAAGACAUCACACUGAGCUUGGAUGAGCCUAGUUGAACAAUUGAUGAUGAAAAAUCCGCUAUAGGGUAGAAGACUUAACCGGAAACACGUGGGCGAUCCUCCUUGAGGAUGCAGUGCCAUGAGUCACCUUCAAAGGAAAGGACCAAAAUCGGCACAAUAUGCCAUGUUUCUAAGGACGAUGUAAGUGUACAUCUUGAUUGUAAAUCAAUAUGAACCAUAAGAGGAGAAUAGUUUCACUUCGAAAAAUUCUCAAGGCAUUCAUUAUUGCUAAUGUGA
rnacentral:lncRNA from 1 species